ensembl:lncRNA
UUGCUUAACUCUGGUUGUACCACCUUUAGCAUCAAUAACUGCAACCAAACAUUUUCGAUAACUGGAGAUCAGCCUUUAACAGCGCUGUGGUGGAAUAAAUGGGUUAAUAUUUUCAAGGUUAUUUUAAACCUUUAAAAAUGUCAAAUCUACUACAUUAUACACAAAUAUGUCACCAUGGUAUCUCCUUUAUUUAUACACAAGAAGGUGUUCAGAAAUGUAUUGCUAGAACUGCUAACGUGCUGUUUAUACCCAGAUAGCAAGCACAUUUGGGCCGAUUCCGGUAGAAAUGCGCCGUUGUCGGCUCAAUGGCGGUAUCGGUGAAAAGGUAAUAGCCCAGAGCCCUGCCGACUGCUCACACCACGUCUGGCCGACAGACGGGUUUUGCUAUUUGGGCCAAUCUCGGCUGAAAGCUGGUGUACGCGCGGCAGGUCCAUACUCGGCGUAGCGGUGUUCGUUAAGUCACAGUCGGCCCAUAGCUGGAAUUAAGGAGCUCAGCCGCCUGGAAAAAGAGAAGAAAAAAACGUUUUGGCGGUUAAAUCAGUUGGGAUCCUCGAGGCUGCAGUCGUUCUUCGUUUUCAAGAGGAAUCAUUUCACGUGAAGAAGACAGCUAUAAAGAAUGCAGGAGGAAAGCCAAAGAGGGCAGGACCUGGUCAGACCUCCAGUCAGACUCGGAACUUCUUUAUCAUAGCCAUGCUGAGGGAGGUGCUGACUAAAUUAGAGAUGGUGCUGGACCAACAAACCACUGAGAUUACUUCAACUACAGGAGGUCCAGGUGCAGCCUUUGGAUAUUGAGAAAGGUUUACUGCCCCUGCAAGACCUUCCUCAAUGGCGUAGUCUGGAGCAAAGAAUGCAACAGAGUCCAGAUUACAAGCAAAAACUGUUGAGAUUUUUUUCUUUUUUGUUAACAAUUGCUUGCACAAUUACACAGCUACUAAAAGUGUUUCUUUUUUCUCAAAAGGACACACUCGUACUCAAAGCACAAUAUUCAACACCACUUUGAUAUGAAGGAACAGUUAUGACCUAAUCUUUGGUAGAGUAACUGCUGGAGUAGUGAGAAGCACUGAUACAGGUAAACUGGUUGCGCUUAUUGACGGGGAGGAUGUGCACGACUGCACCUUGCGCAUAUUGAAGAGGGUGAUUGCCACUCCCUGGCAAAGAACCGCAAUUGGAGGGGAGUCAAUUUCAAGACUUCACUGGCAACUCUCCAACUCGGAGAGGUCGUGAUUGCUGCAGUUCAAAGAAACUUCUUCACAGCUAAUGCUGCUGAGAUGGAGGUCGAGGGGACCAUGAAGAGGUGGCUCUAGCUGGCAUCAGAUCGAGAGUGUGGGCGCAAGAGAAGACUUUUGCAAAAGGAAGCAUCUUCUAGCAUAUUUGACCCCUUUCCAACAGCAGCUAUAUGAUGUUGAGAUCCGUCUGAGGACACUGAGGGACGCGUACAUGACUAUUACAUCAGGUGCAAACAUUCACUGAUGCUCGAGAAUGCAACACAAUACAUUAAGAGCCAGGGGGUUUAAAAUUUUGAACAGGAUGAUCGGUGUAAAUUGUUAUUUUCUCUUCUGGGAGACAUGUAAGUAUCUUAUUUAGCUUCUGAAGGGCAGUACUACAUGGAAAAAAAUAAGAUCUUUAAACAAAAUAACAAUUUACACCGAUCAUCCUGUUAAAAAAUGUGCACCCCCUGGCUCUUAAUGUAUUGUGUUGCAUUUAUUUGUAAUGUAAGUGGAGGAAUUUAUUUGUGUGCAUGUGUUCGUAGCUGUAUGUGUGUGAGAGAGAAUUGUUUUUGUCUUUAAAUAUACUGUAAAUAUAUUUAGUUGUUAUUUUGUAGGUUUUAAAAGUGUGUUGUUAAUACAUGUUCAUAUUGCAGUGUAUUUGUUAAUGUUUAAUAAAAG